CACGUAGGAGCCUAGCGUUAUCCGAAUUUACUGGGCGUAAAGCGCGUGCAGGCGGUUCGGUAAGUUGGGUGUGAAAUCUCCCGGCUCAACUGGGAGAGGUCGCUCAAUACUGCCGAGCUAGAGGAUGGUAGAGGGAGGUGGAAUUCCGGGUGUAGUGGUGAAAUGCGUAGAUAUCCGGAGGAAUACCAGUGGCGAAGGCGGCCUCCUGGACCAUACCUGACGCUCAGACGCGAAAGCUAGGGGAGCGAACGGG
rnacentral:rRNA from 1 species